UUAACCUGUACGCUGACGUCAAUAAAAAAAAAAGCCGUCAUUUCCCACCAGUCUGCGCACCGACGGAUCGUUCAAAACAUUACGCACAGCAUCGCGGCUGGACUCCCGCUUCACACCGACAGAAAUAAACCCUCACGGAGCCCCGGAGAGCGGAGACAAUGCGGACUGACGCCACUGCAGGUUGCAGGAGCAUCUGCACGGAGCCGGUCGGCGGUGUUUGGAACCAGCGAUCAUCGGCCGCAUCGGCGCCGCACUGCUCUACGCUUUUAGCCUCUUUACAGUGCUGCCUUGUCUGAUCAGGUUCAAGCAGCAUUGUACAGGGCUAUGACAGCAUAGAGAGCCGAGCUUCUCUCGCCCUCUGGACGGCAGCCAGCCAAUGACCUCAUCUGCGAAGAACUCCAAACGGCGGAGGAUGGCGCGCGAGAGGGGAUGCUGCCGAUUUCAGUGAUUUGUCUUGAUUUUUUUUCUUUCAUUUUCUUUGCAUGCCAAUGUGGUCCAAAGCGUUGCUUUUGUUGUUAGGCUUGAGGAAAAAACAAACUGGAGCACAUGGAGUUCUCUCCGGGUUGCAUUAUUCAAAGCAAAUUGAAAUCCCCGUGCAGCCGAUGCAUUAUUGAACCAAUUAGUCACAUCGCACGCUGCGUCUGAUUCACCCAUCUGCGCUCUGCCGUCCGGAUCUGCUGCUGCUCUUCUGAAGAAGCCGUUUCUAACAAUCGUCGGAGAUGCUGAAGCACCUUGAUUAAAAACAGUCUUAAUUAGCUGCAGUAUAACGGGUUUUAAUAGGAGAGGCAAAAACUGUUGUGGGGGGUAUCCUCAGUUUGGGCUGCAAACGAAGACGUCUUUCAUCUCAGAGAAAAACGACCACCACAUUCCUCACUGACAAAUCCUUUUGCCCCAAAUGUGACAGCUUCAAACGCCUUUUUUCUUGUCCAACCAGAAGGGAUAUUUAGUGUAGAAUCACAGUCAAGAGAUGAAAAAAAGCUCAGAAGGUGAAACUGAUUUAUUUUUGCUUGCAAAAUUGAUUAUCAAAAGAGUUGCCUGUUUUUCAAUCAUCAUAUUAGCUCUUAUGUAGCACCAGAAAUAUAUUGUAUUAUUAAAAUGUUUAAAUGCA